rnacentral:misc_RNA from 1 species
GAGCAAUGUAAUUUCUUGAUCAAAAUAGCUUCAAUGCUGCUAUAUUCUACAAAAAUGCAUAUAUUUUAGCUGUUGUAACAACAAUCAGGAAGGAAAGAAUUCUCUUAGAAGUAUUCUUUAAAUUAAGAUAGAGUAAUUUAAUCGGGAUUGGGAAUAAGGAGGCAGGGAUGAUUUUGCUACUUUUUUUUAAAAUAUAAAACACUUAAUAUUGAGAUUAUAACUUUGUUAAUAUUAUUCUGGGUGCUAAACCUUCUGCAAUAUCGCAGAAUGGAAUACCAAAAAAAUUAACCCAUUUGAACAAAGAAAGAAGACAGCAAAAAGUACUGAACUGAGGACAAGAAGGUUAAAAAUUGGAUUAAAAAAAAAUUUAAUCAUCCACUUGGACUAGUCUUUGACAGAUAAUACGUUUUCCGCGCUACUAGUCAUAUCACAAUUUUUGCCUUCACUUUGGAAGGAAAAGCACUCAAAAUAUUACAAUAUUUUCCAUUCACUUUCCAGGGA